AAAUAAUUAACUAAGACAGUUUCUCCCUCCCUGAAGCCAAGGUAGAACCUCCCCCCUACAGCCAACCCCCACUCUCCUCACUCCUGUUUCCUCUGGGCUCAAGUUUGUGGCCAUUAAAUAGAAGAGGAGAAAGUUUGAACCAGGCAUGAAAUAUUUAUCAGAACCUGAAGAACAUCUCUCUUUCUUCACAAGAAGCUUGUAACACAAUAACUACCACUUAUCGAGCCCCUGCUGAAUGCUUGGAUCUAUGCAAAUAAAAUUUAAUCUGAUCUACAGAACAACUCUAUAAGGUACAGCUGUUGGGAGCUGCAUCUCCUACCCUCAGUCUCCCUGUCUGUGGUUCCAGAGGGAAGAAGAGGGGAAAAAAAGGAUGAAGAGAAUUGUUUCAGUGCUGGGGGAGGAGCCUACAAAGCACUUUGAAAUCCGAAGUUUGUGGGAAGUGGCUGUAUUGCACAAAUACUCUGAGGUGCAACAUUACUUGACUGGUAAUGAGGCAACCAUCCCACCUAGGGCAGAGUUCAAGGACUGCCUUCAAGAGGGGCUGGCCUCAGUUUGCCUGUUACAGAAGCCAAGGGCUAACAGAGGCUCCCCUCUGCCUCACAAAGAAGGAGAUAAAUGGGUCCACUGGAGAGCAACGGUCACAAUCAAGUCUUAAUGAUGAAUUAAUAAUUCAUAAUUACCCCAGACUUGCAGAUAAGCACAAGCCUACUGGAAUUAUUUCCCAGGGAGGAACACAGUCAGAAAGGGUAAGAAGGGGACUUCAGUACAGACAUUACUUCCAGAGGCCGUUAAGUUCAUUCCUCUGCUUCCCAACCAGAACCCGGAAGAGAUUCAUUAGCUUCCUUGGCUGAUUCCUCCUAACAGCUACCACCCCCUGAGCUUCUAAACAGUGCCAUAUUGCCCCUCUGUUCUUCAUAAGGCCAGAGGACCAUUCCUACCAAAGUGACCUCAGAGCCUGGACUCUGGAUUUCUGGCGUCUCUCUGUUCUCUGCUCCCCAUUCUGCUAUUUACAUACGAGGUCCCCUGUAGGAGGGCCUGGUGCUAGGUGUCCCGGCGAGAUGUGGACAUCUUUCUGGCUCUUCUCCUUCUCUUAUCUAAGUCCUCACAUGGUGGGAAAAUACCUCUCUAACGCUAUGUAGAAAGAGAAGCAGGGAGUGCCCCUUCUAGCGUGGAUGCCUUUGGUUCCCAGAUCUGGAUUUGAGGGGCUGGCUCUAUCUCUUAAGACAUUUACCUAGUAUUGAUAAUGGAGAUGGGGCCUAAAUAGGGCUAGGGAGGCACACCCAACUCCCGACCCAGCUCUCUGCUGUUCCCCUUCCCAGUGCACACAAUCCCAAUUCCCACUCCAGAAAUUUUUUUAAAAACAUAUCUUAAAAGAAACCUCGAAGAGCCAAGCAGACCCUCAGCUUCAAGGUAUCUCCUCAUUCUCUCUCUCUCUCGUUCGCUCUCUCUCUCUCUCUCUCUCUCUGUCUCUCUGAAUCUACAAAGAAGGAGUGAGUUUUGUCUCUCCAAGUACUCAGAGCCUUAGAUCACAAAGGGGCCUUAGAUCCUGGUCUUUAGGAGAUCUUUGACCACCACCUCUGCUGUGGCACGACCUUUGUCAAAAUGCUAGAAAGAAGAGAGACUGGCUCUUAGACCAAGGGAAUUUGGGAUUUGAAAGGUCUUCCAAUUACAAUUCUAUAGAUUUCCUUCCCAUUAGCCUUUUCAUGUGCAUCAAAUGUAAAUGGCAGGCUAAACCUACAGGAUGAAGAGAGUUGAAAGACUGCUGUCUAAAAAUGCCCUUUUCCAAAUCUGUGGGUGCAGAAGCAUAUUGAAAAGCAGCUACCCAGCCUGGCGGUGUGGCACAUGCCUGCAGUCUCACAUACUUAAGAGGCUAAGGUGGGAGGACUACUUGAGCCCAGGAGUUUGAGGCUUCAGUAAACUAUG
rnacentral:lncRNA from 1 species